rnacentral:snoRNA from 1 species
AGGGCCAGUCUUGGAUGGGGAAUGAAUAUUGGUGGUGAUCAAUACAUGUCUGGAACUCUGUGGUCCAU